UCACCCGCCGAUUCAUCGUCCCUUUUAUCGUUCCUUUUGGGGCGCCACACCUGGGGCCUUCCUUCCUUCUUAUCUGCCGUGCUCUGUUGUUCCUCCUCUUGUUGUUCCCAUUGGCGGAGACGCUGGAUUCUUCGCUUUUGAGACUUGGUCAAUCCGUCGGGACACCACCUGGGGUUUAUAGGUCUUCCCUCUGACCUGGCGCGUUCCCACUCCGGUUC
rnacentral:lncRNA from 1 species